GCUUUAUACUAAAUUUUAAUAGUAUUAUUUUUAAAGACUACUGGUUGUAUUUUUUUGUCUCUGUUAGAUUUAGCUACUGCUAAAUAAGAUUUUGUUUGAUGUGAGGCAGGGGCAUGUGGAUGAGGUCAAGCAGAGGUGUAAGGCGAAAAAAAGAAGAAAAAAGAAUCUUUAAAAGAUUGAGGAGCAGUGUUACGUGAUGCUCUCUGGAAUUAAAGUUGAAUGAUAGUAUAUGGAAAAAAAAAAUAUUUUCUUUGUGAAACAGAGAAAUGAAAGAGGUCGGCAGGUACGGUUGGUGAAGGAACAUUUAUUCUUCUCAUUCAAGCGGCUCUCGUUUUUUCCUCCUUAUAUUAUUAUUGAGGAAAAAAGUUUCUCAGCUACACGAUGUUUACUAUAAUAUGGUAAAAACCAUACAGAGUAUGAAAAUGUGUCUAUAACUAUACGAAAUAUAUGAUAAUACAUACCACAUGUAUGAAGUAAAUAAAAAUAUGGUGCCAACAUCCCAAUUGGUUUUAAUUGAUUUUAAUGAAACAUUUUGGGGUCAAUUCGUAAUUAAGAAACUUUAUUCUGAUUUAACUAAUUUGAUCCAAAUCAAUUCCUUUACCCGACUCGUGUUUUGUUACUUCUCUUGUUUCAAUCCCCAAUUUUGAAAAUUAGGGUUCAUAUCUGGAAAAUAGGAUCGAUUUCAAACAAAGAGAGAAAGAGAGAUGGAAUUGGGUGGAGGAUCCAACAACAGGAGACGGGGCAAGGCAAUUGCAGGCAGUGUGCUUUGUUUUUGUGGACUACCGGCCAAGAUAGCUCAAGCUUGGACCGAAAUUGUAUCACUGUUAUCAAUAAAAUACCAUUAGAACAUGGUAAAGACAUCGAUUGAUUCCAAUCAUCGAAGUAAACAAGCAAGGGUUCACAUGUUCUUACCUCAUCGUCGCCCUCCUUCUUUUAGCUCAUUCGGAUUCGAUUUCACAAAACCCAGUUAGAAUCCCUCUCUCUGACUCCGAAAUCUCUCUCAAUCUCUAUCUUCUUCGAAAUCUCCUAAUUUUUUCGGGUUGGAACCCUAAGGAAAUCGAUUUGGGGGGAAAGGAAUUGACUUGGGUCGGGUUAACGUAUGGAGCUGGGUCGGGUUUUGCCUUAAUCGGAAUAAAGUUUCUUAAUUACGAAUUGACCCCAAAAUGUUUCAUUAAAAUCAGUUAAAACCAAUUGGGAUGUUGGCAUCAUAUUUUUAUUUACUUCAUACAUGUGGUAUGUAUUAUCAUAUACUUCGUGUAGUUAUAGACACAUUUUCAUACUCUAGAUGGUUUUCACCAUAUUAUAGUAAACAUCGUGUAGCUGGAAUGGGCCCAUUUCUCGGCCCAUUCCAUAUUUUUAGGUGAAGUUGCAAACCUUUCUUUUGCUUUCUGAGAAAUAAGAUAUUGCAAAACAAAUGUAUAUAAAUGAAACCUAAAGUACUCUAAAUAAGAAUUUCACUAACUUUAAAUUGAUUUUGAAAACUCAUAAAAAAACUAAUAUGAUGGUAUUAGGUUCAACAACACAUGGUACCUCAAUCCGAACUAGAAUUAAGUUGAUUUGAAGUCGCAAACCAGCAGCCCGAUUUUAUAUUAUAAUAUUGUGUUAUGUUAGGAAGUUCAUAUCUAAAUUGACAUGAAAGCUAAGACAAUAUAAAGGACAUGUCUAGAAGAUUUAUAAGUUUUUUUUAGUUGUUCAGGUGUUGUGAAAUAUUGGAGCAUUGAACAACAAUCUAUAACUACUUGGACAUCCAUUUUGUUUUUAAGAGAACCAUUAUAACAAGUCAAGAAGGCAAUAAAUACUUUUCGACGUUUUAUAAAUGGAAGAACUAUGCAAUGCAUUUAGAUUGUUCAGUGGUGAACAUAUGUUCACCGACGUUCUUCGUUCUCAACCACAAUAUCAGUCAUCAAAUCUUUGAUCUCUCAGCUAAAGUAAUGCUUUCAAUUCUUACACGUGUGAGCUAGGCAAACCCUACUCAUUUCCAUAACUUAAUCAAUAAGCGAAAACAACACAAUACUUGUAAAGAAGACAAAUAUUAUUUAUAAGUUCGCAUUAUUUUGUUUGGAUAGUCUGAUGUGGAACAAGUGAAUGAUAUAAAGCAUCAUCAAACGUCGGUCGAUUGGUGAGAGAAACUGGUGUGAAACUGAAAAGCCGGUUCGACUUUUGGAUAGCGAGAUUCAACCUGCGCCACACGGAUAAAAGCAUCACUAAAAACGAAAUAAUGAUUCAGAUGAAAAAGGCAAGUGAUAAGGGACAGAGUAAAAAGGUCGAUCGGGUAGUGUAGAGAGAGAGAGAGAUAGCAUCCACUGGUGUGGACCGUUAACCGUGUGGUGGCCAAUUCUGGUCGGUGAAUUGUUACUUUUUUUUAUAUAUAUAGUGAUGUUAAAUAUAU